CUAAAAUAAAAUAAGAUAAUAAGUAUGCUUAGUCAAUUUGUAACGUGGUAUAAUAGAGGCAUCUGCAAUAAAAUAAGUGGGUUUCCAAGACCUGACAAGUGAGGGCAACUUAAUAUAACAUAUGUCUACAGUUUGCUGUCCCUUCCUUAUCAGAGGCCACUUGCAACACAGCAAGACAACUCUUCCGAAACCUGUAUUAAACAAAGCACUUUAGAAUAAUAGUAAUUUAUUUUGUUUCUCCUAUUUCAUUCCUAGUUGUUCUGAAAAAAAAUAUAUUGUUUAAGUGGGAUAACUGUAUGGAGGUUCCACCAUGUAUUAAAACAU